rnacentral:rRNA from 1 species
GUCCUACGGGACGCAGCAGUGGGGAAUAUUGGGCAAUGGGCGCAAGCCUGACCCAGCAACGCCGCGUGAAGGAAGAAGGCUUUCGGGUUGUAAACUUCUUUUAUCAGGGACGAAACAAAUGACGGUACCUGAUGAAUAAGCCACGGCUAACUACGUGCCAGCAGCCGCGGUAAUACGUAGGUGGCAAGCGUUAUCCGGAUUUACUGGGUGUAAAGGGCGUGUAGGCGGGACUGCAAGUCUGGUGUGCAACCCCUGGGCUCAACCCAUGGCCUGCAUUUGAAACUGUUGUUCUUGAGU